UGGGGGAUAUUGCGCAAUGGGGGAAACCCUGACGCAGCAACGCCGCGUGAAGGAAGACGGUUUUCGGAUUGUAAACUUCUUUUAUGAGGGACGAAGAUGACGGUACCUCAUGAAUAAGCUCCGGCUAACUACGUGCCAGCAGCCGCGGUAAUACGUAGGGAGCGAGCGUUGUCCGGAUUUACUGGGUGUAAAGGGUGCGUAGGCGGCUAGGCAAGUCAGAUGUGAAAUGUAUGGGCUUAACCCAUGCACUGCAUUUGAAACUGUUUGGCUUGAGUGAAGUAGAGGCAGGCGGAAUUCCCUGUGUAGCGGUGAAAUGCGUAGAGAUAGGGAGGAACACCAGUGGCGAAGGCGGCCUGCUGGGCUUUAACUGACGCUGAGGCACGAAAGCGUGGGUAGCAAACAGG
rnacentral:rRNA from 1 species